rnacentral:misc_RNA from 1 species
AGAUAGAGAGAGAGAAUUCUAUAAUACUUUGUGUUAUACAAUCUCAACUCAAAGUAUUAUAAGAGCCCUUUAAAUCCACAAGUUUGUGCCUAAUUUUUAUUAUGGCAGUAUGAGGUAAAACAAAUCUGUGUGGACAAGAGGCAUCAAGAAAUUAUCUAAUGAAAACAUGCAAUCAACAACUCCCAAUCCCUCCCAUUUUGAAAGAACAUAGAAAAAUUCAAAGUAGCUCUUACCGCAUAUAAAAUGGCCAAUUUAAAUUUAUAUUAUCAACUUUCCAGCAUAAUCAGAUUUGUUGUUUCAUAAAGAGUAAUUACAAUUACGUACAGAGCAUUUAUCAGAAAAAAUUAUAAUAACUAUAAAUUAUGCUACU